CCUACGGGAGGCAGCAGUGAGGAAUUUUCUGCAAUGGGCGAAAGCCUGACAGAGCAAUACCGCGUGAGGGAUGAAGACUUACUGAGUUGUAAACCUCGGUGCCUUAAGGAAGAAGAUCUGACGGUACUUAAGGUGGAAAGCAUCGGCUAACUCCGUGCCAGCAGCCGCGGUAAGACGGGGGAUGCAAGUGUUAUCCGGAAUUACUGGGCGUAAAGCGUCUGCAGGUGGUUUUAUAAGUCUGCUGUUAAAUCUUGAGGCUCAACCUCAAAUCUGCAGUGGAAACUAUAAGACUUGAGUAUAGUAGGGGUAGAGGGAAUUUCCAGUGGAGCGGUGAAAUGCGUAGAUAUUGGAAAGAACACCGAUGGCGAAGGCACUCUACUGGGCUAUUACUGACACUCAGAGACGAAAGCUAGGGGAGCAAAUGGGAUUAGAUACCCCAGUAGUCCUAGCCGUAAACGAUAGAUACUACGAUAGUUAGGUACGUACGUACGUACCGUUACCGUACGUAUACUUACGUACGUACGUACGUUAACGUUACGUUACCCGUCCCGUCCGGGUAGGGUACGGUACCGUCCGCCGAACGAAGGUAGGUAAACGUAACCGUAAACGUUAAGUUAAGUUAGUUACGGUUACGUAGAGACGAGCGACGGACGACGACGAGGAGGAGGAG
rnacentral:rRNA from 1 species